GACGAACCGUGCAAACGUUGUUCGGAAUCACUGGGCUUAAAGGGCGCGUAGGCGGCUUGCCAAGUCAGGGGUGAAAUCUUUCGGCUCAACCGGAAAAGUGCCUUUGAUACUGGCAGGCUGGAGGGAGGUAGGGGCAUGUGGAACUUCCGGUGGAGCGGUGAAAUGCGUAGAUAUUCGCAAGAACACCAGUGGCGAAGGCGGCUCACUGGCCCGGUACUGACGCUGAGGUGCGAAAGCGUGGGGAGCAAACAGG
rnacentral:rRNA from 1 species